AGGGGUAUAGUUCAGCUGGUAGAAUAUCGGUCUCCAAAACCGCAGGUCCUGGGUUCGAAUCCUAGUGCCCCUG
rnacentral:tRNA from 1 species